ACAGAAGAGACAGUCAACAGUGGUAAAGGGAGAAAGCAGCGGACGAGAUUUCCCAAAGUGACUGCGACCAGGAGUCGGAAAACCACAGCCCAUAUCACUGUAAACAGGAGAAAUACCGGAGGGCUAUGGAUGCUAAUGAGUUCUUAUAGGAUCUAUCAUUCAUGGAUGCAUAGCCUUAUCUACUGAGAUCUACAGCUGGAGACACCGAGGUACAUGACACCUCUACUAAGGGAAUAUAAUGUACCCAGAGAUCUAUAGGUGCAGGCACCAGAUGCAGGACACCUCUACUAAGGGAAUAUAAUGUACCCAGAGAUCUAUAGGUGGAGACAUCAGAUGGUUGACACCUCUACUAAGGGAAUAUAAUGUACCCUGAGAUCUAUAGGUGCAGGCAGCAGAUGCAGGACACCUCUACUAAGGGAAUAUAAUGUACCCCGAGAUCUAUAGGUGGAGACACCAGGAACAGGACACCUCUACUAUGGGGGUAUAAUGUACCCAGAGAUCUAUAGGUGGAGACACCAGGAACAGGACACCUCUACUAUGGGGGUAUAAUGUACCCAGAGAUCUACAGGAGUAGACACCAGGAACAGGACACCUCUACUAUGGGGGUAUAAUGUACCCAGAGAUCUAUAGGUGGAGACACCAGGAACAGGACACCUCUACUAUGGGGGUAUAAUGUACCCAGAGAUCUAUAGGUGGAGACACCAGGAACAGGACACCUCUACUAUGGGGGUAUAAUGUACCCAGAGAUCUACAGGAGUAGACACCAGGAACAGGACACCUCUACUAUGGGGGUAUAAUGUACCAUCAGCUCUACAAGUGGAGAUACCAGGUUAAAUAAAAUAAAAUAAUUACCGCAGCACUCUCUUCAGUCAUAUAUGGUUUAUUCACCUACUGUGCGACGUUUCGACUUCACAGAGUCUUUUUCAAGCAUAUAUCUGUGAAGUCGAAACGUCGCACGGUUGGUGAAUAAACCAUAUAUGACUGAAGACAGAGUGCUGCGGUAAUUAUUUUCUUUUAUGGAUUACUGGGGGCCCGUCGGGCUUGGACCGAACACUGCUGGCACCGCCACCAUUGGGACAGAAUUUUGAAUACAUCCAGUGAGUAGUGCUGUUUUUUUUCUCUAAACAAGAUAC